UUCUUUUUUUUCGACUUCUGACUUCCCCUUCUUUAAAUUAUGCCUUCCUUUCUUUCUCCUCAAAUUCUACCUUCAUCUUUUUCCAAAUUAUGCCUUCCUUUCGUUUUUCCAACUUCUGCCUUUAUCUUAGGUGAAAGAUUCAUCAGACUAAGAUUUUUAUCUUAGGUGAAAGAUUUAACAGACUAAGAUUUCUUUAUCUUAGGUGAAAGAUUCAACAGACUAAGAUUUCUUUAUCUUAGGUGAAAAAUUCAACAGACUAAGAUUUUUAUCUUUUAACCAUUUUCCUUC
rnacentral:lncRNA from 1 species